GACGAACGCUGGCGGCGUGCUUAACACAUGCAAGUCGAACGAAAAGACCCUGCUUUUGUUGCUUUCUCGAUUGGCGAACAGGUGAGUAACACGUGAGUAACCUGCCCUUGACUUUGUGAUAACUUCAGGAGACUGGGGCUAAUACCCGGUAUGAUCUCCUGCUGCAUGGGGUGGGUUGGAAAGUUUCGGCGGUUGGGGAUGGACUCGCGGCUUAUCAGCUUGUUGGUGAGGUAGUGGCUUACCAAGGCUUUGACGGGUAGCCGGCAUGAGAGGGUGACCGGCCACCAUGGGCCUGAGAUACGCACCAGAAGCGUACGGGAGGCAGCAGUGGGGAGUAUUGCACAAUGGGGGGAAGCCUGAUACAGAAACGCCGCGUGCGGGAUGCCGGCCUACGGGUUGUAAACAGAUUUCGAAGGUGACGAAGCGUGAGUGACGGUACUGGGUAAAGAAGCACCGGCUAACUACGUG
rnacentral:rRNA from 1 species